CCUACGGGGAGCAGCAGUGGGGAAUAUUGCACAAUGGGGGAAACCCUGAUGCAGCGACGCCGCGUGAGUGAAGAAGUAAUUCGUUAUGUAAAGCUCUAUCAGCAGGGAAGAAAAUGACGGUACCUGAGUAAGAAGCCCCGGCUAACUACGUGCCAGCAGCCGCGGUAAUACGUAGGGGGCAAGCGUUAUCCGGAUUUACUGGGUGGAAAGGGAGCGUAGACGGCAGUGCAAGUCUGGAGUGAAAGGCGGGGGCUCAACCCCCGGACUGCUCUGGAAACUAUACGGCUGGAGUGCAGGAGAGGUAAGUGGAAUUCCUAGUGUAGCGGUGAAAUGCGUAGAUAUUAGGAGGAACACCAGUGGCGAAGGCGGCUUACUGGACUGUAACUGACGUUGAGGCUCGAAAGCGUGGGGAGCAAACAGGAUUAGAUACCCGAGUAGUC
rnacentral:rRNA from 1 species